GCAGACACAUUCCAGCCAAUCAGCAGCAGACCCUCCCUCCCAGACCCUACCACCUCCUGGUCAGCAUCCAUUUUACAUUCAUUGUGAAGCUGCAUUCUUAAUGAGCUGUCCAGGAGGUGGGAGGGUCUGGGAGGGAGGGUCUGCUGCUGAUUGACUGGAAUGUGUCUG
rnacentral:miRNA from 1 species